rnacentral:lncRNA from 1 species
UGUAAAGCUGUUGUCCGUGUGUUAUUGCUUACAAAUGAUUCUCCAUCAACGUUGAUUAUGGUGACCGAGGGAUCGAGAACCGAGGGAAUUAGAGUCCAUUACAACAUUAACCCUUUCAGCUUGGUGUCUAGAAGUGGGAUAGAAGUUGGAUCAGCAAAACCAUUUGCGGUGAGUAGCCUUUUUGUGUCUUAUUUGACGCUGAUUGUCUAUGACCCCCCUUUGGUUCAGUAAGUCUGUAUCCAGUAGAUAGGAAAGGUGUAAGGACUCUAGUUAUAU